rnacentral:rRNA from 1 species
GACGAACGCUGGCGGCGUGCCUAAUACAUGCAAGUCGAACGCAGUGGGGACGGGUGAGUAACACGUGGGUAACCUCCCAUCAGAGGGGAUAACACUUGGAAACAGGUGCUAAACCGAUACUGAUGGAUGGACUCGCGGUGCAUUAGCUAGUUGGUGAGGUAACGGCUCACCAAGGCCACGAUGCAUAGCCGGCCUGAGAGGGGGAUCGGCCACACGGGGACUGAGACACGGCCCAGACUCCUACGGGAGGCAGCAGUGGGGAAUAUUCGACAAUGGACGAAAGCCUGACCGAGCCACGCCGCGUGAGUGAAGAAGGUUUUCGGAUCGUAAAACACUGUUGUUGGGGAAGCGUUAUCUAACCAGAAAGCCACGGCUAACUACGUGCCAGCAGCCGCGGUAAUUC